UACGGAGGUGGCAAGCGUUGCUCGGAAUCACUGGGCGUAAAGGGCGCGUAGGCGGGGAGGUAAGUCGGGUGUGAAAUCCCUCGGCCCAACCGGGGAACUGCGCCCGAGACUGCUUCUCUUGAGUCCCGGAGAGGAAGGUGGAAUUCCCGGUGUAGCGGUGAAAUGUGUAGAGAUCGGGAGGAACACCGGUGGCGAAGGCGGGUCUCUGGGCAGUAACUGACGCUGAGGAGCGAAAGCGUGGGGAGCGAACAGG
rnacentral:rRNA from 1 species